AAAUAUUGGCCGGGGAGCUGGGAAAGCUGGCUGAGAGGGGGCCCUAGGGGUACCGACCCGUAAACCUGAUCUGGGUAAUGCCAGCGGAGGGAAAGAAUCUUCUAACUUG
rnacentral:ncRNA from 2 species